UACGAAGGGUGCAAGCGUUACUUGGAAUUACUGGGCGUAAAGCGUGCGUAGGCGGCUCGUUAAGUCCGUUGUGAAAGCCCUGGGCUCAACCUGGGAAUUGCAGUGGAUACUGGCGAGCUAGAGUACGGUAGAGGAUGGUGGAAUUCCCGGUGUAGCGGUGAAAUGCGUAGAGAUCGGGAGGAACACCCGUGGCGAAGGCGGCCAUCUGGACCAGUACUGACGCUGAGGCACGAAAGCGUGGGGAGCAAACAGG
rnacentral:rRNA from 1 species